UACGGGGGGAGCAAGCGUUGUUCGGAUUUACUGGGCGUAAAGGGCGCGUAGGCGGUCAGCACAAGUCAGUUGUGAAAUCUCCGGGCUUAACUCGGAAAGGUCAACUGAUACUGUGCGACUAGAGUGCAGAAGGGGCAACUGGAAUUCUCGGUGUAGCGGUGAAAUGCGUAGAUAUCGAGAGGAACACCUGCGGCGAAGGCGGGUUGCUGGGCUGACAUUGACGCUGAUGCGCGAAAAGCGUGGGGAGCGAACAGG
rnacentral:rRNA from 1 species